GCAACAUGGGCAACAGAAAAAUUGCUUUAAAUUAUUCGGCAUUGUUGGCGUGAAAGUAGUUGUAUGUUCCAAAAUUCCAAAGGGUCGGUAGCCCAACAAACACAUAUUCAGUGUUUGACUAAUCACCCCAACCAAUCAGAAACAAGAGAAAUUGGAACGCCAACACCAUGUCUACAUCCCCUUUCAUCACCCCAACAUGCUUCUCUUAUCAUUGGACAACCCAUGUGAACUUCUCGUGCUACUGGUUGCAACUUGACCCAAUCAUAU
rnacentral:sRNA from 1 species